rnacentral:rRNA from 1 species
UACGUAGGGGGCAAGCGUUGUCCGGAAUCAUUGGGCGUAAAGCGCGUGUAGGCGGUUCGGUAAGUCUGCUGUGAAAGUCCAGGGCUCAACCCUGGGAUGCCGGUGGAUACUGUCGGACUAGAGUACGGAAGAGGCGAGUGGAAUUCCCGGUGUAGCGGUGAAAUGCGCAGAUAUCGAGAGGAACACCAAUUGCGAAGGCAGCUCGCUGGGACGUUACUGACGCUGAGACGCGAAAGCUAGGGGAGCAAACAGG